CGCGACCGACCACUGGCGGCGGCACAAAGCAAGGCGCGAGAGCCCGGUGUCCAUGGCGAUUCGGCGGCUCCGCUCGCCGGAGCAGCGUGCAACGGAGGGAUCCCGCGCGCUGCUCCGUCGAGCGUGGCCACCCGUGCAGCUACACGACAUUUAUUGCGGGAUGCCGGAGGAGAGAGCAGUGGUGCCAGGUCGGCCAUAAGUGCCCGCCGGCGGUGACGCGAGGCACUCGGCGUCAUCCAUUAGGCGUCGUAAACCUGCGGCUCGUCCGCCGCUGCGGAUGGCACGCCUUCAACGAUGCUGCUGCAGCAUGAGGUACUGACGUUGACGCGCAUGGCGUGGUGGCCAUGCUCGUAGGCGUCCAUGAUGUGUGUGCGGCACGGCAACAUCUCCAAUCUGGAGCGGGAUAGCCCCUGGCUCCACCUUAGCAUCUCCAGCAGUGAGAAGAUCGUCGGGAGGAAGGGCAUCAGCAGGCGAUGUAGCAGACACGAAGGAUGCCGCCGGCACGGACCUGGAGGUGGCCGGCGGCGGUGGUGGUCUUCUGAUCCCCUUAAGCACCCUUUCAGGAUCGGCUGUUAGGAGUAACCGGGUGCUAACCCGUACGUGUGUUUCACCCCAAGGGGUACGACCUCCUCAUUUUGUAAGUGGUGCGAAGGGGACAGGGACCAAAACCAAAAGUUGGGUCAAUGCCCCCGAUCAGGGCAUGUACUGGGGAUGCAAAUCCUCCCCUUCUUUGUCUCAGUUUGUUAUAACCGUAGAUCAAUUCCAACACGACAAUCCUAGAAGCUUACAGUUCUUAUCAUGCGAAUAUGUUGUUAGCUCUCAUUUCACUGGAUCAUCAUUUCAUAA